UACGUAGGGUGCAAGCGUUGUCCGGAAUUAUUGGGCGUAAAGAGCUCGUAGGCGGUUCGUCGCGUCGGCUGUGAAAUCCCGGAGCUCAACUCCGGGUCUGCAGUCGAUACGGGCGGACUUGAGUUCGGCAGGGGAGACUGGAAUUCCUGGUGUAGCGGUGAAAUGCGCAGAUAUCAGGAAGGACACCGAUGGCGAAGGCAGUUCUCUGGGCCGUAACUGACGCUGAGGAGCGAAAGCGUGGGGAGCGAACAGG
rnacentral:rRNA from 1 species